rnacentral:rRNA from 1 species
GUGGGGAAUAUUGGACAAUGGGCGAAAGCCUGAUCCAGCCAUGCCGCGUGUGUGAAGAAGGUCUUCGGAUUGUAAAGCACUUUAAGUUGGGAGGAAGGGCAGUAAGUUAAUACCUUGCUGUUUUGACGUUACCGACAGAAUAAGCACCGGCUAACUUCGUGCCAGCAGCCGCGGUAAUACGAAGGGUGCAAGCGUUAAUCGGAAUUACUGGGCGUAAAGCGCGCGUAGGUGGUUUUGUAAGUUGGAGGUGAAAUCCCCGGGCUCAACCUGGGAACUGCCUCCAAAACUGCAUGACUAGAGUACGGUAGAGGGGAGUGGAAUUUCCUGUGUAGCGGUGAAAUGCGUAGAUAUAGGAAGGAACACCAGUGGCGAAGGCGACUACCUGGACUGAUACUGACACUGAGGUGCGAAAGCGUGGGGAGCAAACAGGAUUAGAAACCCUGGUAGUCC